AACGAACGCUGGCGGCAGGCCUAACACAUGCAAGUCGAACGCCCCGCAAGGGGAGUGGCAGACGGGUGAGUAACGCGUGGGAACGUGCCUUUCGGUUCGGAAUAGGCCGGGGAAACCCGGGUUAAUACCGGAUACGUCCUUCGGGAGAAAGAUUUAUCGCCGAGAGAUCGGCCCGCGGCUGAUUAGCUAGUUGGCGGGGCAAUGGCCCACCAAGGCGACGAUCAGUAGCUGGUCUGAGAGGAUGAUCAGCCACACUGGGACUGAGACACGGCCCAGACUCCUGCGGGAGGCAGCAGUGGGGAAUAUUGGACAAUGGGCGCAAGCCUGAUCCAGCCAUGCCGCGUGAGUGAUGAAGGCCCUAGGGUUGUAAAGCUCUUUCGGCGGGGACGAUAAUGACGGUACCCGCAGAAGAAGCCCCGGCUAACUUCGUGCCAGCCGCCGCAGUAA
rnacentral:rRNA from 1 species